UCGACUCGCCCAGAGUUGUGAAUUUUUUCAUAACGAAGGCGAAAAUCGUUGUCCCACAUGUUCGUGGACACGAGAAGACGAGCGGCCUCGAACAACUCGAUUUAUUUGCGCAUUAAGAAAAACAAACAUGCCUCCUAGUGAUUCCUUGAUAAACAUCAGAGUCGCGUUAACCCGUCCCUUAUCUGGAAGUCCGAAAAAGUUAGGUUCCCGUUGUUUUCUCCGAUUCCGGGGAAAUUCAGAUUACCCUGUCUGGCCGAAAUGGGAAAACCGCAUCUAAACAAAAUGAAGCGAAAGUUUGCGAGAUCAAUUCGAGUCGAAAUCAGGAGUUUAUUGAAUGAUUGAUGAAUUACCACGUAGGUGUGUUUGACCUCUUCAAGUGAAAUAUCGAGGUUGCAAAAACGGGGGGCAUCCCAGAAGGACAGGACGAAACACAGGGGAUUCAAUUCAGAUCGGAAUUCGGGAACAGUCCAGGAUUUUAGAAGUGCCAAAAAACAGUUUGUAUCAUCCAUUCAGACGGUCCAUCCGCAAAAAGCAGCAGGCCAUCGAUCUGCUUCCAGCCCUCCGGUCCCCUAGGAUAUCUCCCGACUCGAUAUACAAUAAGAUCAUAGGGUACCCUCUAUAUAAUUGAACAAAAGAAACGUAAAACUAGCAAUGGAUCCUGAUCUUCAAACUCCCGUUACAUUUUGAGCCAUUCGUCAGCGGAGGACGAUUACGAGGACAAGUUUCAGGAAAUGCAGAAUC